CUCUUUCUUUCUCUCUCCCUCACUUUUUCGCUUCUAUCCAUUGUGUUGCAGCCCAUCCUAUAGAACAGCCUCAAUUCAUCAGGGCAUGGACUCUACAAGGUGUCAAAUGUUCCACAGGGAUACUGGCCCAUGUUUGACUCGAACGUUCCCCACAGUUGUGUCAAAUUGGCUGGAUGACCUUUGGGUGGUGGACCAUUCUUGAUACACACGGGAAAAACCCAGCAGCGUUGCAGUUCUUGACAGACACCAGUGCGUCUGGCACCUAUUACCAUACCCCAUUCAAAGGCACUUACAUCUUUUGUCUUGCCCAUUCACCCUCUGAAUGGCACACACACACACACACGAUCCAAGUCUCAAUCGUCUCACGGCUUAUAAAUCCUUCUUUAACCUGUCUCCUCCCCUUCAUCUACACCGAUUGAAGUGGAUUUAACAAGUGACAUCAAUAAGGGUUCAUAGCUUUCACCUGGAUUCACAUGGUCAGUCUAUGUCAUGGAAAGAGCAGGUGUUCUUAAUGUUUUGUACACUCAGUGUGCGUAUCCUUGGAGCAAGCAGACCCUAGCCAUACACUGUAGAACAUCUAAUUGGCCCUCUCUAACACACACACACACAAAAUCAUACAUUUAUGCACCAAAAACCCUCUGACACAGAAACGUUUCCUGUGUGCCUGCCCAUACAAGCAGUGCUUCCUGAAAAAAAAGCACUGGACACACACACACACACACACACACACACACACACACACACACACUAUAUUGCUCUCUCGCUACAACACUGGCACCAAUUAUCCUCUCUGACUGGAGUGUUUUGAUGGUGUAAUUGUCACGGACAGAGAGGAGAGCGGGAUGGAGGGAUGUAGAGAGG
rnacentral:lncRNA from 1 species